AUUGGUAACGAUAGCUUAGGUGGUACACCUCUUCCCAUCCCGAACAGAGAAGUUAAGACCUAAUACGCCGAAGAUAGUGGAAACGCGAAAAUAGGAAGUUGCCAAUU
rnacentral:rRNA from 1 species